AUUUGUAUAGUAUAGCUAUUAUAUUUGACUUCCAAUCAAAAGACCUGAAUAUCAGUUCAAAUA
rnacentral:tRNA from 1 species